AACCAAGGUACCUUUAGGUACAGGUACAGCAAUCUAAGCAGUCAGUGGAUGCGGGGAGUGGUAAACAGCGAGGGGAGGAAAAUGACAGCUGGUGAGUCGGCGAGCUGGCGAGUUUGUUAAUACAAUUUUCCCCUCCAUUGAUUGCUAUCGUCUCCAUAGUGCCGUAAUGUUUAUUAUUACGUGUUGAAAAUUCAAAAGGAACAUUUUCUGCAGAUACCAACGACAGUUUCAGAGUACAGAUGCUGUGAUUCCACCACGCGAGAAAUAAAUUGGAAAUAACACAAAUUCCUAAUGUGAGGAUAACACAGACGAUUGCGUAGCGCAGCUCAUGAUUCGUUCGGCUCGAAAAGGACAAUUUCAAUUACGGAGAAUAUUCUGUACCUACUACAGAAAACCAAAUAAAUUCAUUAAUUUCAGAUGCUUCUUCACAACGUGCGUUUUAAAGAUGGGAAUUGGAGCAAAACAAGUAUUUUCUACUAUGGAGAGUUGUGCUAUUCCCGUGUAAUUCCAGUGAUACAGUGACACAAUUCAUAAUGUGUCGAAAGUGUAUGAAUAAAAACUUUAUGCUAGAAAAGAAA
rnacentral:lncRNA from 1 species